GGGAGGGGGUGACUAGUGACAGAGUGAGGGAGAGUGUGACUAGUGACAGAGAGAGGGAGGGGGUGACUAGUGACAGAGUGAGGGAGGGGGUGACUAGUGACAGUCACCACCUCCUUCGCUCUGUCACUAGUCACCCCCUCCCUCACUCUGUCAUUGUGUCACGCCCUUUCUCACUCUGUCACUAGUCACCCACUCCCUCCCUCACUCUGUCACUAGUCACCCCCUCUCUC